rnacentral:rRNA from 1 species
GAUGAACGCUGGCGGCGUGCCUAAUACAUGCAAGUCGAGCGAACGGACGAGAAGCUUGCUUCUCUGAUGUUAGCGGCGGACGGGUGAGUAACACGUGGAUAACCUACCUAUAAGACUGGGAUAACUUCGGGAAACCGGAGCUAAUACCGGAUAAUAUUUUGAACCGCAUGGUUCAAAAGUGAAAGACGGUCUUGCUGUCACUUAUAGAUGGAUCCGCGCUGCAUUAGCUAGUUGGUAAGGUAACGGCUUACCAAGGCAACGAUGCAUAGCCGACCUGAGAGGGUGAUGGCCCACACUGAAACUGACACACGGUCCAGACUCCUAGGGGGGGCAGAGGUGGGAAAUCUUCCGAAAUGGGCGAAAGCCUGACGGAGCAACGCCGCGUGAGUAAUGAAGUUCUUCGGAUCGUAAAACUCUUUUAUUAGGGAAAAACAUAUGUGUAAGUAACUGUGCACAUCUUGGCGGUACCAAAUCAGAAAGCCCCCGCAAACUCCG